rnacentral:rRNA from 1 species
AGGAUGAACGCUGGCGGCGUGCCUAAUACAUGCAAGUCGAACGAAGCCUUCGGGCUUAGUGGCGGACGGGUGAGUAACACGUUGGUACCUACCCCUAAGUGGGGAAUAACUGCCCGAAAGGGUGGCUAAUACCGCAUAAAUCCCGCAAGGGUAAAGCAGUAAUGCGCUUAGGGAGGGGCCUGCGUCUGAUUAGCUUGUUGGUAGUGUAAUGGACUACCAAGGCGACGAUCAGUAGCUGGAUCGAGAGGUUGACCAGCCACACUGGGACUGAGAUACGGCCCAGACUCCUACGGGAGGCAGCAGUAAGGAAUCUUCACAAUGGACAAAGUCUGAUGGAGCAACGCCGCGUGCAGGAUGACGGCCUUCGGGUUGUAAACUGCUUUUAUAUGGGAAGAUUAUGACGGUACCAUAUGAAUAAGGACCGGCUAACUACGUGCCAGCAGCCGC